rnacentral:rRNA from 1 species
GGUUCAGGAUGAACGCUGGCGGCGUGCCUAAUACAUGCAAGUCGAACGAGGUAGCAAUACCGAGUGGCGAACGGGUGAGUAACACGUAGGUAACCUGCCCUUAAGCUUGGGAUACCCAGAGGAAACUUUGGCUAAUACCGGAUAACAACAGAGAAGGCAUCUUCUUUGCUUGAAAGGCCCCUUCAAGGGUCACUUAAGGAUGGACCUGCGGCGCAUUAGCUAGUUGGUGAGAUAACAGCCCACCAAGGCGAGGAUGCGUAGCCGAACUGAGAGGUUGAUCGGCCACAUUGGAACUGAGACACGGUCCAAACUCCUACGGGAGGCAGCAGUAAGGAGUUUUCGGCAAUGGGGGAAACCCUGACCGAGCAACGCCGCGUGAGCGAUGACGGCCCUAUUGGGUUGUAAAGCUCUGUUGUAAGCCAUGAAUGACAGCUUGAGGAAAUGCAAGUUGUUUGACGACAGCUUACCAGAAAGCCACGGCUAACUACGUGCCAGCCGCCGC